UAGCCAGGUACCGGUCUAUAGCCAUGGUCAUCAUGAUGAAAGAAUUCAAGGUGCCAAAGUAGUGGAUCAUCUGUUCCUGGAAUAGACAGGCUCCUCUCCAGGACAAACAGCCCAACCAGCAGGAAGUUCCCCGAUAUCGUGGUGACAUAGAUGAAGAAGAAGAACCAGGCCAUCAGCUGGAAGUAGGAUGGGUGGAGCCCCGGGAAACCCACGAUCACAAACUCUGACACACGUGUGUAGUUCACAUCGCUCACCUCCACCAUACUGAACUGAAGGAGGGAGGAGUGGAGGGAAUGAAUGGAGUGAAGAAAAGGGGAGGAAAAGACAGAGACACAUAGUGAGUGAUAUAUUAAAGGACCAUCCACUUGGAGCAGGACUGGCACACCGCAUCAAACAGACUUUAGUAAUUUAGGAGAUAUAAUGGCUGUUUUUCAGCAGUUCUCCUCUUAUGUCAGUCACUGGCCAUCACUUAAUUAGCCGUAUGACAGUUACAGUAUUUUUGAUUGGUAGUUAGACUAAUCUCAAGUCUAUUCAAAUGCGUCUAUCUGGUUUUAUUCAUAGCUGAAUACCAAAAUUCCUCUACAAGAAUAAUACAUGAAUUUUUUUUCAAACCACAAUAUUUUCUUUAUACUACAUGGCUUUUGUUGGUUGAACUGAAACAGUAACAGUACAUUGUCUGUCUAAGGUUGGGUGCCGAUCCUCCGUAUCUCAGUCCACAGCUUCAUCUAAGAUGGAGAAAUACAGAGACAUCUAUGUAAAGGAGAGAUGUUGAAGACCCUGGAUUAUCUCU